rnacentral:lncRNA from 1 species
UUGGGUUGGUGUUUUUGGAUCCUUUUUAUAUAUGUUGUUGAUUUUUUUGUCAAUUUAUUUAUUGUCUUUGUAUUUUUUAAUUCGUAUUAUUUAAAUAUUUAAAUAUAUAGCUGAUUUUAUUAAACUUAAUAAAUUCAAUGACCUAAUUUUUUUUUUUACCUUAAUAAUUUUUUUUUACAUUAAUUGAAAAAAACCUGUGCAGGCCUACAAUAUAGCGUGGCCCGUAUCUAGU